UCAAAAACCUGUAAAUAAUGGCCAAUACAUUAUGUAAAAGCCAUUGAUUGAAACUAUGAUAGAACCAAAUUGAACCGAAAUUUUCCAAUUCAAAUUAUCAAUUCUUGGCAUUUUCUCCAUAAUCCAAAGAAUACAGGCAAGAGACUAUCCAAAAUUUUGCAAUAAUUAUAUCUCAAAAUUGUAUCUCUACAAGCAGAACAAAAAUGCUAUUACUUACAAUAAUCAAACUUCAAACAAACCCAAAUUUUAAAACAAUUAAAUCAACCCAAAUUUUCUCAAACUUCUAAAUUUCAACAGUCAAACUCAAAGAAAACAAAUCCCCAUUAGCACAUGUAAACCAUAGGUUUCUUGGAAGUUGACCACAAAUCGAAGAAAUCCGGGAGUCGAAGAAAUUCAUGAAUGCUAUUUCACGAAAACCACCAUACAAAAACCACAAAUCAAAGACCUUAAAUUUAUCAAUUAAA
rnacentral:misc_RNA from 1 species